GAUGAAGAACGCAGCGAAAUGCGAUACUUGGUGUGAAUUGCAGAAUCCCGUGAACCAUCGAGUCUUUGAACGCAAGUUGCGCCCGAAGCCAUUAGGCCGAUGGCACGCCUGCCUGGGCGUCACACGUCGUUGCCCCCCCAUCUACUCCUUCGGGAUUGCGGGGGGCGGAUGAUGGCCUCCCGUGCGCCUCGCCGCGCGGUUGGCAUAAAUGCCAAGUCCUCGGCGACGCACGCCACGACAAUCGGUGGUUGCGAAACCUCGGUUGCCCGUCGUGUGCGGUCGUCGCGCAUCGAGGGCUCGAAAAAAUUGCCGGGUUCCGGCUCGGCUUUCAACGCGACCCCAGGUCAGGCGGGGUUACCCGCUGAAUUUAAGCAUAUCAAUAAGCGGAGGA
rnacentral:misc_RNA from 1 species